GCCGAAGUAGCUAUAAUAGGAGAGCAUUAGACUGAAGAUCUGAAGGUCCUUGGUUCGAUCCCGGGUUUCGGCA